rnacentral:miRNA from 1 species
UAUCACAAGAACAGAUCCAGCAC